AUUGGAGCGGCCGAUAUCAGAUUAGCUAGUUGGUGGGGUAAAGGCUCACCAAGGCGACGAUCCUUAGCUGGUCUGAGAGGAUGAUUCAGCCACACUGGGACUGAGACACGGCCCAGACUCCUACGGGAGGCAGCAGUGGGGAAUAUUGGACAAUGGGCGAAAGCCUGAUCCAGCAAUGCCGCGUGAGUGAUGAAGGCCUUCGGGUUGUAAACUGCUUUUGUACGGAACGAAACGGUCCUGGUUAAUACCUGGGGCUAAUGACGGUACCGUAAGAAUAAGCACCGGCUAACUACGUG
rnacentral:rRNA from 1 species